rnacentral:rRNA from 1 species
UACGUAGGGUGCGAGCGUUAAUCGGAAUUACUGGGCGUAAAGGGUGCGCAGGCGGUCUUGCAAGUCAGAUGUGAAAGCCCCGGGCUCAACCUGGGAAUGGCAUCCGAUACUGGGGAGCUAGAGUUUGGGAGAGGGUGGUGGAAUUCCCGGUGUAGCGGUGAAAUGCGUAGAGAUCGGGAGGAACAUCAGUGGCGAAGGCGGCCACCUGGCCUAAAACUGACGCUGAGGCACGAAAGCGUGGGGAGCAAAC